rnacentral:rRNA from 1 species
CCUACGGGUGGCAGCAGUGGGGAAUUGUUCGCAAUGGGCGCAAGCCUGACGACGCAACGCCGCGUGGAGGAUGAAGGUCUUCGGAUUGUAAACUCCUGUUGCUCGGGACGAAAUGCUUCAACCUAAUACGUUGAAGUUUGACGGUACCGAGUGAGGAAGCCCCGGCUAACUCUGUGCCAGCAGCCGCGGUAAUACAGAGGGGGCAAGCGUUGUUCGGAAUUACUGGGCGUAAAGGGCGCGUAGGUGGCCUGUUAAGUCGAACGUGAAAUCCCUGGGCUCAACCCAGGAACUGCGUCCGAUACUGGCAGGCUUGAAUUCGGGAGAGGGAUGCGGAAUUCCAGGUGUAGCGGUGAAAUGCGUAGAUAUCUGGAGGAACACCGGUGGCGAAGGCGGCAUCCUGGACCGAUAUUGACGCUGAGGCGCGAAAGCCAGGGGAGCAAACGGGAUUAGAUACCCUAGUAGUC